rnacentral:rRNA from 1 species
CCUACGGGAGGCAGCAGUCGGGAAUUUUGGGCAAUGGGCGAAAGCCUGACCCAGCAACGCCGCGUGAAGGAUGAAGUAUUUCGGUAUGUAAACUUCGAAAGAAUGGGAAGAAUAAAUGACGGUACCAUUUAUAAGGUCCGGCUAACUACGUGCCAGCAGCCGCGGUAAUACGUAGGGACCAAGCGUUGCUCGGAUUUACUGGGCGUAAAGGGCGCGUAGGCGGCAAUUCAAGUCAUCUGUGAAAUCUCCGGGCUUAACUCGGAACGGUCAGAUGAUACUGCUUUGCUAGAGUGCAGAAGGGGCAAUCGGAAUUCUUGGUGUAGCGGUGAAAUGCGUAGAUAUCAAGAGGAACACCUGAGGUGAAGACGGGUUGCUGGGCUGACACUGACGCUGAGGCGCGAAAGCCAGGGGAGCAAACGGGAUUAGAUACCCCGGUAGUCCUGGCCCUAAACGAUGAAUACUUGGUGUCUGGAGUCAUUAUUGCUCCGGGUGCCGUCGCUAACGUUUUAAGUAUUCCGCCUGGGGAGUACGCACGCAAGGUUGAAACUCAAAGGAAUUGACGG